CAAGGCGUCGGGCUCCAUCCUGGCUGGUCAUUGCCUCUGCCCCGCAGGCCUGAGCGGCACAUGCCAACAUUUUGUUGGGUUAAUCCUUCAUGCCAUUCACUUGGCGCAAAAGGAUGCGGCAACGUGCACGGAAGUUCCAUGUGCUUGGAUUGUUCCUGCCCAAGUCAAAAAGCAUGAGCCACCUCUGCCUCUGCAAGACAUCACUUUUCACACAAGGAAACAUGAAGGUGCGAAAAGGCGGCGGUUUGAUCCACUGCCAGGGCUCUCACCGAGUGACCCAUCUCUGCUUGCUGCCGAUCUCGAAAAGGUGGCAGCAAACUGCCUGCUUCUCCAUUAUAUGAGCAAAGAAAACUCAGGAGAAUCACUUGAUGAACACAGUCCCAGUGAAGUGGCACCAGAAGCUUCAGACACUCCACUGGUCCCAGACAUUGAAGACAUCCACAGUGAGACCUGUCAAAGACUCAUACAAGAGAGGUUUGAUGGUAAGAAAGUCCACUUCCUUGUUUAUUACUUUUUUCGCAACUUUUUGUCUUGGCACGUGUCAUUCUGAGGCUGUCUCAUUUAUAUAAGAAUGCCCACCUAUGUCUCUGGGCAUCACCUUCACAAGUAUCCCACUGAGCAGCAGAUAAUGCAGCAGUCACUUUUAGACUUAGUGUCUUGUCAUUUCUUAACUUUUACAGGGCUGUCGCAUAACUCGAUGUGUGU